GACAGAGGGGGCAAGCGUUGCUCGGAAUUACUGGGCGUAAAGGGCGCGUAGGCGGGAUGGCAAGUCGGUCGUGAAAUCCUUCGGCUCAACCGAAGAAUGUCGAUCGAUACUGCUGUUCUUGAGGGUUGCAGAGGAGACUGGAAUUCCCGGUGUAGCGGUGAAAUGUGUAGAGAUCGGGAGGAACACCGGUGGCGAAGGCGGGUCUCUGGGCAAUUCCUGACGCUGAGGCGCGAAAGCGUGGGGAGCAAACGGG
rnacentral:rRNA from 1 species